AUGGGAGAGAAGGCAGUGAAGAAAUGGGUGGAAAAAAUUGGGGAGAAUGUUGUUUGGGGUCCAGAGCAAGAAGUAUCACUGUUGCGGUUUGAUGAUUGGAAAGGAGAGUAUGUGAGAAUGGAAGAUGGUGAACAGAUUGUUGAUGAAAUCGAUCGGCAAAACGGCUGGACAAGCAAACGAGCUAAUUUUUUUGCUGAGCUGGUUGAUCUGAAUAUUUUUUCGAAGGUUGGAUAUGUGCCAUCACAAUUAGCUGCGCAGAUGGUAGAUGAUGAUUGGGCUACACAGAGGCCAUUGAUUCCCAUGUGUACUGAACUUACAGUAAUAGCCGAAGAGGGACAGGUGACUGGAAUUGAAACUGAAACUGCAGCAACUGUUGAUUGGAAUGUAGUUGAAUUAGAUGAGCCUACUGAUUUGGUCAUUGCACCAAUGCCUGACAUUGAGAUGGCCAAACUUUUUGGCAUUCCAGUCGAUGACAGAGAUAAGCAGGAGAGGGGAGAAUCUAGUUUGCCUACUAAUGUUGAUGAAGAUGUAGAUGGACAAUUGAUGGAACAAGCUGCAGAUGAAGUAGAUGAUGCACAUGAUGAUGAGCUGGUGCAUGUGUAUGACAAAGAAAACCCUGUCAUUGAAGUAGGCAAGUUCUUCCCAAGCAUGAAGGAGUUUAGGAUGUGUUUCAAGACUUAUGCAGUGAAACAUGAGUUUGAUGCCAAGACUGUUUGGACUGAUAGAAAGAAGUUUUAUGCGAGGUGCAGAGGAUUUGUUGGUAGUGUCAAGCCUUGCAAGUGGUACAUAUCUGCUAGACUGCAACCUGAUGGAAGUACUGUCAGGAUUAACCAAAUCCCCAAUCAACAUACUUGUAUUACAAGUUCACAGAGAGUAUCAACCAUGACAUCACAACUUUGGGUUGCAGAAAAGAUCACCCCAAUUUUAGCCAAAACACCAAACACUACUGCCAAGAAACUCAAAGUAGACUUGGAAAAGAUGUACCCCAUUAAACUGAAAUAUACCACAGUGUGGAAGGCAAAACAAAGGACAAUGAAAAACUUAUAUGGUGAUUGGGCAAAUACAUUUAGGAUGCUUUACAACUUCAAAGCAGAGGUGGAAAAGAGGUCACCUGGUAGUGUUGUGGAGAUAGAUACAGAGGUAUCAGCCAAAGGUGAAGUCAAGUUCUCCAAGUUUUUUAUGGCUUUGAAGCCUUGCAUAGAUGGCUUCAAAGCAGGGUGCCGUCCAUAUUUGAGCAUAGACUCUUCAUUUUUGACAGGCAAGUGGAAUGGUCAGUUGGCAGCAUGCAAUGCUCUAGAUGGACACAACUGGAUGUUUCCUAUUGCUGUUGGCUUGUUUCAGUCAGAAACAGAGGCUUCAUGGACAUGGUUCAUGAUCCAGUUGAAAAGAUGCCUAGGGCUAGUGUCACCUUUGGCUAUACACGCAGAUGCAUGUAAGGGGCUUGAAAAUUCAGUGAAAAAUGUUUUCCCACAUGCUGAGCAGAGGGAGUGCUUCGGUCAUUUGUGGAUGAAUUUGAUCAAAAAAUUUAGAGGAGAAGAAUUUGGGCGCAUGUGGCCAGCAGCAAGAUCUUACACUAGACAGACACACAAAUAUCAUCUUGAUAAGAUAAUGGCAGCAUGUGAUGAGUUUGGUCCAUGGCUGAACACCUACCAUUCUUUGUUAUGGUACAUGUCAGCAUUCAACACUGCCAUCAAGUGUGACCACAUCAACAACAAUUUGGCAGAGAGUUUCAACAAUAAGGUGAAGGAGUUAAAAGAUUUGCCUGUGCAUGACAUGGUUGACCAAAUUAGGAUCAUGCUCAUGCGGUUGUGGGAAUUGAGAAGAAGGAUAGGUGAUUGUCUGCAAGGUGAUAAGCUUCCAGCAGUGGUACAACAGGUGGUCAAUAGGAGCAGAAGUCUUUCACAUUUGUUUGUUCAAAAAUCUUCACCUUGGGGUGCUGAAGUUAGAGAUAACAAAACUGGAAGGAGACAUGUUGUUAACACUGAAUUGCAUGAUUGCACUUGCCUCGAGUGGCAACACACUGGUAAACCAUGUGAGCAUGCCAUUCUUUUCUUAGCAUCCCAACCGAAGAUAAACAUGCACCCAUAUCUGCAUGAAUAUUAUUCGGUAGCAAGAUUCAAAGAUGCAUAUGCUACUCCAAUUCCAGCACUUACAGAUCAGUCUCAGUGGCCUGAAGUGGACAUUGAAUUUUCCAUGUGUCCUCCCUUGACGAAAAGAAAGGCUGGCAGGCCUAAACAGAGUAGAUUCAAGGCAUGGUUUGAGAAAGGUGGGAGUAGUAAGAAGGGAAAGAAAGAUGAAAAGCCAAAAAGGGCCCAAAAAGGUAACAAAAAUAGAUGCAAGUUGUGCCAGGAACUUGGGCACAGAGUGGGAUCUAUCAAAUGCCGUUACACUCCUGAUAAGACAAAGUAUGUUCUUGUUUAUUUGUCUGUGUUUUGA
rnacentral:rRNA from 1 species